AAAAUUUUAUGGUAAGUAGGAAUAUGAGUCUAGUUUCAGGGAAAAUUUACGGAUUUAAAUUUUGAGUUUCGUAACUCAAGUUAUAAUUAAAUUAGUGACAGUUGCGCAGGUGGACAGUUUUGUUGUGAACAGUGAAUUUAAUUUUAAAAGCAAAUUUUUAUGCUCCGAAUCGGUAAGUUAAAUUGGAUGACAUCUCGUACUCGAUUCCGGCGACGGUCUUGGG
rnacentral:lncRNA from 1 species